CGGAGGGAUCAUUACUGAGUUUACGCUCUAUAACCCUUUGUGAACAUACCUAUAACUGUUGCUUCGGCGGGUAGGGUCUCCGCGACCCUCCCGGCCUCCCGCCUCCGGGCGGGUCGGCGCCCGCCGGAGGAUAACCAAACUCUGAUUUAACGACGUUUCUUCUGAGUGGUACAAGCAAAUAAUCAAAACUUUUAACAACGGAUCUCUUGGUUCUGGCAUCGAUGAAGAACGCAGCGAAAUGCGAUAAGUAAUGUGAAUUGCAGAAUUCAGUGAAUCAUCGAAUCUUUGAACGCACAUUGCGCCCGCCAGCAUUCUGGCGGGCAUGCCUGUUCGAGCGUCAUUUCAACCCUCAAGCUCUGCUUGGUGUUGGGGCCCUACAGCUGAUGUAGGCCCUCAAAGGUAGUGGCGGACCCUCCCGGAGCCUCCUUUGCGUAGUAACUUUACGUCUCGCACUGGGAUCCGGAGGGACUCUUGCCGUAAAACCCCCCAAUUUUCCAAAGGUUGACCUCGGAUCAGGUAGGAAUACCCGCUGAACU
rnacentral:rRNA from 1 species